GACGAACGCUGGCGGCGUGCUUAACACAUGCAAGUCGAACGGAAAGGCCCUGCUUUUGUGGGGUGCUCGAGUGGCGAACGGGUGAGUAACACGUGAGUAACCUGCCCUUGACUUUGGGAUAACUUCAGGAAACUGGGGCUAAUACCGGAUAGGAGCUCCUGCUGCAUGGUGGGGGUUGGAAAGUUUCGGCGGUUGGGGAUGGACUCGCGGCUUAUGAGCUUGUUGGUGGGGUAGUGGCUUACCAAGGCUUUGACGGGUAGCCGGCCUGAGAGGGUGACCGGCGACAUUGGGACUGAGAGACGGACCAGACUCCUACGGGAGGCAGCAGGGGGGAAUAUUGCACAAUGGGCGGGAGCCUGAUGCAGCAACGCCGCGGUCGGGAUGACGGCCUUCGGGGUGUAAACCGCUUUCGCCUGUGACGAAGCGUGAGUGACGGUAAUGGGUAAAGAAGCACCGGCUAACUACGUG
rnacentral:rRNA from 1 species